AGCGAACGCUGGCGGCAGGCCUAACACAUGCAAGUCGAACGAACCUUUCGGGGUUAGUGGCGGACGGGUGAGUAACACGUGGGAACGUGCCUUUAGGUUCGGAAUAACUCAGGGAAACUUGUGCUAAUACCGAAUGUGCCCUUCGGGGGAAAGAUUUAUCGCCUUUAGAGCGGCCCGCGUCUGAUUAGCUAGUUGGUUGAGGUAAUGGCUCACCAAGGCGACGAUCAGUAGCUGGUCUGAGAGGAUGAUCAGCCACAUUGGGACUGAGACACGGCCCAAACUCCUACGGGAGGCAGCAGUGGGGAAUCUUGCGCAAUGGGCGAAAGCCUGACGCAGCCAUGCCGCGUGAAUGAUGAAGGUCUUAGGAUUGUAAAAUUCUUUCACCGGGGACGAUAAGGACGGUACCCGGAGAAGAAGCCCCGGCGAACUUCGU
rnacentral:rRNA from 1 species